GCCAGCAGCUAUAUCACCCUGCAGCUCACAGCUGGCAGCCCACUGAAGCUCAGCAGGGUUGAGCCUGGUCAGUACCUGGAUGGGAGACCUCCUGGAAAAGCUGAGGUUGCUGCUAGAA
ensembl:rRNA 5S_rRNA 5S ribosomal RNA